UGUAAUGUUAGCAAUGGAACGCAGCCACCUGCCUUCUCUCUCUCAGGCAUUCACAGUCCUGGCUGGCUACACUUCAGAUUGCAGAACCAUGGAUAGCCUGUUCUUUUCAAUCUCUUGCAUCCAUUUUAGUUGAUGUGUCAUCUAUGACCUUCUCACUAUCCAGUGAUGUGUCGCUCCAGCAAGAGGUGAUACUACUAACCUGUCGGGGUGGAGGACGGCAGAGCCAGUAGCUGCAGCGGGUUCCUUCUCCGAGGACUGGAGGACAAAAGAUUUCCCCAGAGAACAACCAAAGAGCACCAGCAUCAUCACAAA